UCCUAUAAUUUCAGAUGCGCCAUUCCCUUUUGUCAUCUGAUUCUGUUCUGCCAAUUUCUGGGGAGAUGGGCUGAGAAGCCAUUCAGCAGACUAUGCAAAAUGAGCCAAGAUAUUGCUUUGUCUUCAGAGAUCAUUCUUUUAUUCCUUUCUAUCACUAAGGACACUCCUUCGUGCUGAGCCCUGAUGGGCCUUGCUAUCCACUUUUUGGAUGCUUUUCAUCAGGGAUGCCUCAACAGCACCACUAAUGCCUCCUUGUGAAUGCCUACAAUGAGGCAGACAGGUGCUACUACUACAGCAAUUGCAAUUAAAGGAACAAUUGACCUUCUUUUGUCCUCGAAGGAGACUUGUAGUCCUCUGGUGUAAUGCAGCUGGGUGCAGCAAACAAAAUCUUGUAAACCAUUUGUCUAAGGAAAAU